rnacentral:rRNA from 1 species
GAUGAACGCUGGCGGCGUGCUUAACACAUGCAAGUCGAACGAUGAUGCACCGCUUGCGGUGUGGAUUAGUGGCGAACGGGUGAGUAACACGUGAGUAACCUGCCCUUGACUCUGGGAUAAGCCUGGGAAACUGGGUCUAAUACCGGAUAUGACCUUUCACCGCAUGGUGGGGGGUGGAAAGCUUUUGUGGUUUUGGAUGGACUCGCGGCCUAUCAGCUUGUUGGUGGGGUAAUGGCCUACCAAGGCGAUGACGGGUAGCCGGCCUGAGAGGGUGACCGGCCACACUGGGACUGAGACACGGCCCAGACUCCUACGGGAGGCAGCAGUGGGGAAUAUUGCACAAUGGGCGGAAGCCUGAUGCAGCGACGCCGCGUGAGGGAUGACGGCCUUCGGGUUGUAAACCUCUUUCAGUAGGGAAGAAGCGAAAGUGACGGUACCUGCAGAAGAAGCGCCGGCUAACUACGUGCCAGCCGCCGCGGUAA